CCAUGUUCUCCACUGAUGAGAAUAAAACCUGAGUUUGUGCUUAACUUGUUCACUAUGUAGCCUUCUAAACUGUGCUGCUACAAAUUUUAAGUCUUCUGCUGUAAGAGCAAAUGCCUCCACUUCAGAAAUAGCUUUGACGGUUCGGGUGGAUGAAGGUAGGAUGAUGGUGGUGUGUGGGUCUAAAGCCCAUGUCAGCAACUCUUCACAACAGAAGUCCCCAGGGCCAAUUCUGCUUGAGUUGAAGAAUCCGGUGCGUCCACCAUUGGUGGUGUAAGAUUCAAGAUCGCCUCGAAUUAUGAAGAGCAUUUGAUUCACAGGAUCACCUUCAUGCAGAAGAAACAUACCUUUUGCACAUAAUUCAAGCUUUAGCCUCUCACAAAUUGCAUCCAGUGUUGUUUCAUCCAUUUGAUCAAACAGUGGGACUCGUCGAACUAGAUCAAUGCAUAAAUGACGUUUGACCUUUCUCUGAAGAUCUAUGGGAAGACUUUUGAUAAGGGAUUGUUCAUCAACACCUUUGGUAGCCAGCCACUUGUACUGAUCAUACUUUCUAAUAGACUGCCUUAGCUGGGGACUUAGCUGCCUGUAAUGCAUCCAUUUUUCUGUAUCUGUUCUCUUGAUCCUCCACUCUUCUAAUCGCUUAGUCAUGGAUUGAAGGAACCUUUGCAUAUUACCAAUGAGCAAUGCAAAGAGUACAAGACCAAGAAUCGCGACAAUGGUAACGAAAAUAUUUUCUCCAACAUGAAUGGUUGUAACUAGAUUUUGUCCUAGAGUACUCAGGUUUUUUAAACCCCACCAGAGACAAUAGAAGUACUUGUUCAUAAAAGCUGAACCUGCAACACUUAAUGAUACCGCAUCACCAUAUAUGCCAAACUGAUAAUUCAGUUCACUAUUUGGCUGACACUGAUUUGUAACGUUGCUUGACUUGAACCAGUCAACCCUUGUAGGGUCUUUAACAUUGCGGCAAUCGAAAUACUUAUUUGGGCAGUAUGGCUUCUCAAGAUUGCAGGCUCUAUGCCAGCAAUCUUCCUGUCUCUGAAUUGAUAAAAGGUACCAGCAAGCUCCUGAAACAUGGCCUGCUAACAUGAAAAGCAGAAGGUUGUAAGCUGCUCCGGCCCAAGAUGUUUGCAUGACAAUACCAGUAGCCUCAAUUUGUGAAGAAAGUGGGAAUAU
rnacentral:misc_RNA from 1 species